GCAUUCUGUUAAACAACCACCUUCUCCAUUCGACUGCUGAGGGACACUGGGCUAUUUCUGGUUCAGACUGUGAUGAAUGGUGCUCUGUGAAGGUUCCUGGCACGUGUUUUUAGAACAUAUGCAGCAGUGUCCGUGGGGCGCAUUCCCAGGAGAGAACUUCUCGUCAGAUGCACGCAUGUUCCACUUUACCGGAGGGGCCACUUCUCCAAAGAGACUGUGCAAUUUAUGCUCCCACCAGCAGCAUGGGGGUGCUCCACCCGGUUCUUAUCCCUUCUGAGAGCUGGUGUUGUCCGAUGUGUGCUUUUUAGCCGAUUCUGGGAGGGACAAUUGACAUGUUCAUGAUAUUGAACCUUCUGAUCAAGAAUCUUCAGAGUCUUCAUGUUCCCUGCUGUGGUUGUCUCUGUCUGGUAUCAGAGUAAUAAAGGCCUCGUGAAAUGAAUUGGGAAGUUUCCCUUUCUCCUCUACGUUCUAAAAGAGCUUCUGUAAUUUGCAAUUCUUCCUUCAAUAAACAUUUUAUAAUAUUUAGCAGUGAAGACAUCUGGGCUAGGGGUUUUCUUCCUAAAUGGCUUUUAAUUAUGAGUUUAAUUUCUUCAACAGAUGUGAAGCUAUUCAGUUUUUUAAAUUAAAAUUGUUCACAAAUGGUAUUUUAUAAAUUCUCUAUUUUCACCAGUAGCAUUUAUUAUCCUUUUUAUUUUUUAAGAGACAGGGUCUCACUCUGUUGC